UGGUAAUGCCGGAUGCUCCGACUCCUCGCAUGGGGUGUCGGGAAAGAUUUCAUCGGUAUGGGAUGGGGUCGCGUCCUAUCAGGUAGUCGGCGGGGUAACGGCCCACCGAGCCUACGACGGGUAGCCGGCCUGAGAGGGCGACCGGCCACAUUGGGACUGAGAUACGGCCCAGACUCCUACGGGAGGCAGCAGUGGGGAAUAUUGCACAAUGGGCGCAAGCCUGAUGCAGCGACGCCGCGUGCGGGAUGACGGCCUUCGGGUUGUAAACCGCUUUUGAUCGGGAGCAAGCCUUCGGGUGAGUGUACCUUUCGAAUAAGCACCGGCUAACUACGUGCCAGCAGCCGCGGUAAUACGUAGGGUGCAAGCGUUAUCCGGAAUUAUUGGGCGUAAAGGGCUCGUAGGCGGUUCGUCGCGUCCGGUGUGAAAGUCCAUCGCUUAACGGUGGAUCUGCGCCGGGUACGGGCGGGCUGGAGUGCGGUAGGGGAGACUGGAAUUCCCGGUGUAACGGUGGAAUGUGUAGAUA
rnacentral:rRNA from 1 species